CCUACGGGUGGCAGCAGUGAGGAAUAUUGGUCAAUGGACGCGAGUCUGAACCAGCCAAGUAGCGUGAAGGAUGACUGCCCUCUGGGUUGUAAACUUCUUUUAUAUGGGAAUAACAUGUUACACGUGUGGGUUUUUGUAUGUCCCCUAUGAAUAAGGAUCGGCUAACUCCGUGCCAGCAGCCGCGGUAAUACGGAGGAUCCGAGCGUUAUCCGGAUUUAUUGGGUGUAAAGGGAGCGUAGGUGGAUUGUUAAGGCAGUUGUGAAAGUUUGCGGCUCAACCGUAAAAUUGCAGUUGAAACUGGCAGUCUUGAGUACAGUAGAGGUAGGCGGAAUUCGUGGUGUAGCGGUGAAAUGCUUAGAUAUCACGAAGAACACCGAUUGCGAAGGCAGCUCACUGGACUGCAACUGACACUGAGGCUCGAAAGUGUGGGGAUCAAACAGGAUUAGAUACCCGAGUAGUC
rnacentral:rRNA from 1 species